UACAGAGGUCUCAAGCGUUGUUCGGAUUCAUUGGGCGUAAAGCGCACGUAGGCGGCUUCGCAAGUCGGAUGUGAAAUCCCUCGGCUUAACCAAGGAAGUGCAUCCGAAACUGCAGAGCUUGAGUACUUAAGAGGAUCGCGGAAUUCCCGGUGUAGAGGUGAAAUUCGUAGAUAUCGGGAGGAACACCAGUGGCGAAGGCGGCGAUCUGGGAAGAUACUGACGCUGAGGUGCGAAAGCGUGGGGAGCAAACAGG
rnacentral:rRNA from 1 species